rnacentral:rRNA from 1 species
GACGAACGCUGGCGGCGUGCUUAACACAUGCCAGUCGAACGGAAAGGCCCCUUUGGGGGUACUCGAGCGGCGAACGGGCGAGUAACACGUGCGUAACCUGCCCUUGACUUCGUGAUAGCUUCAGUAAACUGGGGCUAAUACCGGCUAGGAAUCCUUGCUUCCUGGUGGGGGUUGGAAAGCUUCGGCGGGUUUGGAUGGACUCGCGGGUUAUCUGCUUGUUGGUGGGGUAGGGGCUUACCAAAGCUUUGUUGGGUAGGCGGCCGGGGGGGGCGACCGGCCACAUUGGGGCUGAGGUACGGCCCAGACUCCUAAGGGAAGCAGGCGUGGGGAAUAUUGGACAAUGGGCGGGAGCCUGGUGCAGCAAAGCCGCGGGCGGGAAGAAGGGCUUCGGGUUGGAAACCGCCUUCCGCAGGGGCGAAGCUUGGAGUGACGGUAAUUGCAGAAGAAGCACCGGCUAACUACGUG